rnacentral:rRNA from 1 species
GAUGAACGCUGGCGGCGUGCCUAAUACAUGCAAGUCGAGCGAACAGACGAGGAUCUUGCUCCUCUGACGUUAGCGGCGGACGGGUGAGUAACACGUGGAUAACCUACCUAUAAGACUGGGAUAACUUCGGGAAACCGGAGCUAAUACCGGAUAAUAUAUUGAACCGUAUGGUUCAAUAGUGAAAGACGGUUUUGCUGUCACUUAUAGAUGGAUCCCCGCCGCAUUAGCUAGUUGGUAAGUUAACGGCUUACCAAGGCAACGAGGCGUAGCCGACCUGAGAGGGUGAUCGGCCACACUGGAACUGAGACACGGUCAAGACUCCUACGGGAGGCAGCAGUAGGGAAUCUUCCGCAAUGGGCGAAAGCUUGACGGAGCAACGCCGAGUGAGUGAUGACGGUCUUCGGAUCGUAAAACUCUGUUAUUAGGGAAGAACAAAUGUGUAAGUAACUAUGCACGUCUUGACGGUAACUAAUCAGAAAGCCACGGCUAACUACGUG